rnacentral:rRNA from 1 species
GACGAACGCUGGCGGCGUGCUUAACACAUGCAAGUCGAACGGAAAGGCCCUGCUUUUGUGGGGUGCUCGAGUGGCGAACGGGUGAGUAACAAGUGAGUAACCUGCCCUUGACUUUGGGAUAACUUCAGGAAACUGGGGCUAAUACCGGAUAGGAGCUCCUGCUGCAUGGUGGGGGUUGGAAAGUUUCUGCGGUUGGGGAUGGACUCGCGGCUUAUCAGCUUGUUGGUGGGGUAGUGGCUUACCAAGGCUUUGACGGGUAGCCGGCCUGAGAGGGUGACCGGCCACAUUGGGACUGAGAUACGGCCCAGACUCCUACGGGAGGCAGCAGUGGGGAAUAUUGCACAAUGGGCGGAAGCCUGAUGCAGCAACGCCGCGUGCGGGAUGACGGCCUUCGGGUUGUAAACCGCUUUCGCCUGUGACGAAGCGUGAGUGACGGUAAUGGGUAAAGAAGCACCGGCUAACUACGUG